CUACGGCGAGUGAAGAGGGAAGAGCCCAAGAUUGAAAGCUGGCGUCUUCGGCGUCCGCAUUGUAAUCUCAAGAAGUGUUUUCCGCUUCGGACCAUGCCUAAGUCCCUUGGAAAAGGGCAUCAUAGAGGGUGAUAAUCCCGUACAUGGCAUGGAGCGCCCGAAGCUUUGUGAUACGCUUUCUAAGAGUCGAGUUGUUUGGGAAUGCAGCUCAAAAUGGGUGGUAAAUGCCAUCUAAGGCUAAAUAUUGGGGAGAGACCGAUAGCGAACAAGUACAGUGAUGGAAAGAUGAAAAGAACUUUGAAAAGAGAGUUAAACAGUACGUGAAAUUGCCAAAAGGGAAGGGUAGGAGGUCAGAGAUGCGGCCUGGGAUUCAGCCUUGCUUUUGCUUGGUGUUUUUCCCAGAUUGCAGGCCAACGUCGGUUUUGGGCACUGGAGAAGGGUAGGAGGAACGUGGCACCUCUCGGGGUGUGUUAUAGCCUCCUACUGGAUACAGCGACCGAGACCGAGGACAGCAGCGUACUCGCAAGAGCGGGCCUUCGGGCACCUUUACGCUUAGGGCGUUGGCAUAAUGGCCCUCUACCACCCGUCUUGA
rnacentral:rRNA from 1 species